rnacentral:lncRNA from 1 species
UUUGAAAGCCUCACCUCCAAGCAAUUUAAAAAUAAAAAUAAUAAAAAUAAAUGAAUGGAUAAAAACAAGAAUGAAAAGAAAAGUUGUUGAAGGUUAGAGAAGAGGACAAGAGGAAGUGUGAACAAUAAAAAGGGAGAAAAAAAGAAAAAUAAAAAAAAAUUGAGAAAGGAAAUUUCAAGAAGAAAAAGGUGUGAAAAAAAGGAAAAUAGAAAAAAAGGAACGGGAAGUAAGCUGAAGAGGCCAUCUUUAACCAGAGUCUGUCCCCCCCCG